rnacentral:tRNA from 1 species
GGAGGAAUGUCCGAAUUGGCUAAGGGGCCGGUCUUGAAAACCGGUAAGGCGCAAGCUAUCUGGGUUCGAGUCCCAGUUCCUCCG